rnacentral:rRNA from 1 species
AACCAACCGGGAUUGCCUUAGUAACGGCGAGUGAAGCGGCAAAAGCUCAAAUUUGAAAUCUGGUACCUUCGGUGCCCGAGUUGUAAUUUGUAGAAGGUAACUUUGGGGCUGGUCCUUGUCUAUGUUCCUUGGAACAGGACGUCAUAGAGGGUGAGAAUCCCGUGUGGCGAGGAUCCCAGUUCUUUGUAAAGUGCUUUCGAAGAGUCGAGUUGUUUGGGAAUGCAGCUCUAAGUGGGUGGUAAAUUCCAUCUAAAGCUAAAUAUUGGCGAGAGACCGAUAGCGAACAAGUACAGUGAUGGAAAGAUGAAAAGAACUUUGAAAAGAGAGUGAAAAAGUACGUGAAAUUGUUGAAAGGGAAGGGCAUUUGAUCAGACAUGGUGUUUUGCGCCCUCUGCUCCUUGUGGGUGGGGGAAUCUCGCAGCUCACUGGGCCAGCAUCGGUUUUGGCGGCAGGAUAAAUCUUCAGGAAUGUAGCUUGCCUCGGUAAGUGUUAUAUCCUGGAGGAAUACUGCCAGCUGGGACUGAGGACUGCGACUUUACGUCAAGGAUGCUGGCAUAAUGGUUAUAUGCCGCCCGUCUUG